CAGCCGCCGCGGUAAAACAGAGGAUGCAAGCGUUGCUCGGAAUUACUGGGCGUAAAGGGCGCGUAGGCGGACAGCUUAGUCAGAGGUGAAAGCCCAGGGCUCAACCUUGGAACUGCCUUUGAUACUGGCUGUCUUGAGUUCGGGAGAGGUGAGUGGAAUGCCGAGUGUAGAGGUGAAAUUCGUAGAUAUUCGGCGGAACACCAGUGGCGAAGGCGACUCACUGGCCCGAUACUGACGCUGAGGCGCGAAAGCGUGGGGAGCAAACAGGAUUAGAGACCCCCGUAGUCCCUGUCUCUUAUAC
rnacentral:rRNA from 1 species